rnacentral:rRNA from 1 species
AAUCAGGUAGGAAUACCCGCUGAACUUAAGCAUAUCAAUAGCAGGGAGGAAA